GUCGACGAUGGCCUGCUGAGGCGACGACCGGCGGGCUACUUCCCCGCGCCGGGACUGGAUCCGCAUCCGGCCGUUGACA
rnacentral:tRNA from 1 species